rnacentral:tRNA from 5 species
GCCUCAGUAGCUCAGCUGGAUAGAGCAACGGCCUUCUAAUCCGUAGGUCGGGGGUUCGAAUCCCUCCUGGGGCG